rnacentral:rRNA from 1 species
CCUACGGGAGGCAGCAGUGGGGAAUAUUGCGCAAUGGACGAAAGUCUGACGCAGCAACGCCGCGUGAGGGAUGACGGCCUUCGGGUUGUAAACCUCUUUCAGCAGGGACGAAGCGAGAGUGACGGUACCUGCAGAAGAAGGACCGGCCAACUACGUGCCAGCAGCCGCGGUAAUACGUAGGGUCCGAGCGUUGUCCGGAAUUAUUGGGCGUAAAGGGCUCGUAGGCGGUUCGUCACGUCGGGAGUGAAAACUCGGAGCUCAACUCCGAGCCUGCUUCCGAUACGGGCAGACUAGAGGUAGGCAGGGGAGAGCGGAACUCCUGGUGUAGCGGUGGAAUGCGCAGAUAUCAGGAAGAACACCGGUGGCGAAGGCGGCUCUCUGGGCCUUACCUGACGCUGAGGAGCGAAAGCGUGGGUAGCGAACAGGAUUAGAUACCCUGGUAGUCCACGCCGUAAACGUUGGGCGCUAGGUGUGGGGGACGAUUCCACGUCCUCCGUGCCGCAGCUAACGCAUUAAGCGCCCGCCUGGGAGUCGGCCGCAAGGCUAAACUCAAUGAAUUGACGGCGNGAGAGNGCGACGCGACGACGAGGAGAGG